rnacentral:rRNA from 1 species
UACGUAGGGUGCAGGCGUUAAUCGGAAUUACUGGGCGUAAAGCGUGCGCAGGCGGCUUCCUAAGUCAGAUGUGAAAUCCCCGGGCUUAACCUGGGAACUGCGUUUGAAACUGGGGGGCUAGAGUUUGGCAGAGGGGGGUGGAACUCCUGGUGUAGCAGUGAAAUGCGUAGAGAUCAGGAAGAACACCGAUGGCGAAGGCAGCCCCCUGGGCUGGAACUGACGCUCAGGCACGAAAGCGUGGGGAGCAAACAGG